rnacentral:rRNA from 1 species
CAAUUAUACAGCGAAACUGCGAAUGGCUCAUUAUAUAAGUUAUCGUUUAUUUGAUAGUGCCUUACUACUUGGAUAACCGUGGUAAUUCUAGAGCUAAUACAUGCUACAAGCCCUGACUUCGGAAGGGGCGUAUUUAUUAGAUUAAAAACCAACGCCCUCUGGGCUCCUUGGUGAAUCAUGAUAACUUCACGAAUCGCACGGCCUUGCGCCGGCGAUGGCUCAUUCAAAUUUCUUCCCUAUCAACUUUCGAUGUUUGGGUAGUGGCCAAACAUGGUUGCAACGGGUAACGGAGGGUUAGGGCUCGACCCCGGAGAAGGAGCCUGAGAAACGGCUACUACAUCCAAGGAAGGCAGCAGGCGCGCAAAUUACCCAAUCCCGACUCGGGGAGGUAGUGACAAUAAAUACUGAUACAGGGCUCUUUCGGGUCUUGUAAUCGGAAUGAGUACAAUUUAAAUCCCUUAACGAGGAACAAUUGGAGGGCAAGUCUGGUGCCAGCAGCCGCGGUAAUUCCAGCUCCAAUAGCGUAUAUUAAAGUUGUUGUGGUUAAAAAGCUCGUAGUUGAACCUUGGGCCUGGCUGGCCGGUCCGCCUCACCGCGUGUACUGGUCCGGCCGGGCCUUUCCCUCUGUGGAACCUCAUGCCCUUCACUGGGUGUGCAGGGGAAACAGGACUUUUACUUUGAAAAAAUUAGAGUGCUCCAGGCAGGCCUAUGCUCGAAUACAUUAGCAUGGAAUAAUAAAAUAGGACGUGCGGUUCUAUUUUGUUGGUUUCUAGGACCGCCGUAAUGAUUAAUAGGGACAGUCGGGGGCAUCAGUAUUCAAUUGUCAGAGGUGAAAUUCUUGGAUUUAUUGAAGACUAACUACUGCGAAAGCAUUUGCCAGGAUGUUUUCAUUAAUC